rnacentral:lncRNA from 1 species
UGUCGGCCACCUGGGUGUGGAAAACCUGCCUGUGGUGCAUGUUGUCCAGCUUGUUCGGGAUAGCCUGUCAUGGAUGAAGGUUGGCUCAUUUGCCCUUGGAAACCAGCUUGUGGUGCCUGUUGUCCAGCUUGUUCGGGAUAGCCUGUCAUGGAUGAAGAUUGGCCCAUUUGCCCUUGGAAACCUGUCUGUGAUGAUGGGUUCACAGUCUGAGCUGGGAACCCAGUAGGUGAAGAUCCAGAUGGCGGGAAAAUAUCUGCUAAAAUAUCAGUGUCCCCAAAGCCAAAGUUAUCAACUGCCUCCGUG